GAGAGCCAUCUGAGUUCCACUCCCCGGCGCUGCGUGCUGACGGAGGGGCAGCUGUGUGCAGCAGCGCGGCCCUUGGGGAGGCUGGUGUGAUGUGGGGAAGCCUCUCGGCUUUGCGCACAAGGGCGGCCCCUGCAGCUCCUCCUUGCUGCCCCGCAGCAAAACGUCGCCAUGUAAACCCCACACAGUACCACAGAAUCUGUAUGAGACAAAACUUUCUGAAUUUUAGGAUGAGUUUCAGUCAGAACGCCACAUGCAAGAGUCUACAAGGCAAGCAUGUUAAAUUCAGAUUACUACAGGAGCAUCCUCUGUGGUGCUGUGAUCCCAUGUGACUGCAAAUCAUUAUCAGUGGUAGGUAAUUACAUUGCACUAUUUGAAAUGUAGAAAGAUGAGUAAACUGUAAAGUAGACGUGAAAGGUAAGCUGCAAAUACAAAUCUAUCGUAGGUAGUGGAGACUUUAGAUAUUAAUUAGCAGUGAUGGAUGAUGUCCCUGCUCAACAGCGUCAGGACAGUCUUCAGAUGCAAUGUGCAAUGCCUCUGUGAGUGACCUUACUAAGAUUUUGGACACUUUAAUUCAAAAUGAAAUUUUGGGGGGGAACAAGGAAGAAAAUUGUUUAAAUUUUGUAAAGCCGUGGCUGAACAAUGCUGAAUUGAUUAAGCUGUAAUUUGUCAGCAUACUAAUACGGAAGCUGCUUGUUAAUAUGGAGGCAGUGGAUGCAAAUAAUUAUUGCCAAUGCCCUGCGAGAUUGCAAGGAAAUUCAAAGAUGUAUAUUGUGCGAGUGUGGUGCUGCUAGAAGGGAGAGGGAAUAUAUGCUAUGUAGGUUAGCAGAUACUACGUGUGACCUAGUACUCACUGCUGCCCAGAAAUCCGCAGUAAGUCUUCUGUUAAUUUUAAUGAAGUCAAUGCUAAUUACACUAAUAUGAGAGGAGAAUCAGCUUUGUGUACACAUACAGUGUAAUCCAGAGGUCUUUGAAAGUGGACUGCAUGUGUUUCAAAGACUCAUCAAUGGGGCAGAGGAGUAUUUGACAUUUAAUUCAAGUUUUGUUAACCUAUCCAAAAGAUCAGGCUUCCAGUCACUUGUGUGAGUUACCCGAAAGCUGACAAUCUGAACAUCCGAGAUACUUCAAAUAGACCCUUUAAUAUGUUUUUAAAUAUGUUGGAGCCAGGAGAAAAGGUUUAGUAAGGUGGAUUUCUUUUUGUUCCAUCUGCACAGUAUUGAAAGAUUAUCUUGUUUGAUUUAAUCCUCAAUAUUUCUGGCGAAAGAGACUGCAUAAGCCACUGUCCAUUCAAACUCUGAGCUUCAAAUUAACUAAUCAUGAUAAGGAAUUCAUAGUAUAAAUAAAUAAAAGAACUCAUUGAACAAUUGAGUGUUAUUAAUAAAUACUAUAUUAGCUUGUAAAAGAGUGACACACACACACACAAAGAUACACACUUAUUUCCAUAGUGCUGAUGUGUGCACAAGAACUCUAGUACUUUAGAAUUUUGUGCCUUUAGUAUACACAUAGCAGAAACAAAUUAUACAUAAAUUAAAACAGGAAAAAAAAUCAGCUAAUACUACAAAAUACAUGUCCCUUUGGCAUAGGUGUUUAUUCUUUGUCCCACGUAGGUGGAGAAAACUUUAAGUUCUUUCACAGUAAUUGUGAAACAGCACUUUGAACCAUUGUUUUGUUUAUUAACAAUGUUGUCCAUGAGUAAGAAUUAGAUCCAUGCCUUAUAUAGGAAUGUGUAUAUUCAUGUGUAGUUGCCACAUUAGCAACAAUUAUAGAUUAAAUAACAUUCUAUUUGUGCAAAGUUUUAGUAAAUCUUGUUUUUGGAUUGACUACUUUAACUUUGAAUUGUAGGAAGUAAACUUUACUCUUAAUGCAAGAGUAUUGAUCCCUAUAAAGAUUAUUCUUUAGUCAAAAAGGUUGAUGUAUUGUUAACAACUUUAGGAUAAAUAUAUUUAUUCAAGAUUGGUGAGAAUAUAGUGAGUGAAACAACUAUGUAGAUAUUCCAUUUCUCUCUCAUCCAAGCACUGAGUUCAAGAGAAUAGAACAGCUUUUUGACUGCGGUGUGUGAUGUUGUCUUAUGUACUAUAAAAAGCAGCUCUUGUGAGUAGGUAGCUUGAAUAAUGUUUCCUUUCCCCGCAUUUUAAAUUACCUAUGAAUUUCACUUAUUCUCAUGAAUAGAUUCUAUAAAAUAUUAUUGCAAGAUUUUAGUUCCUAGUUAAAAAUGUACAAUAAAUUCAGCAGCUAUUUUGUUGACAAGGCAUAUAAACACCAAAAUGAAAAACAGGACUGAUGACUUAUGGAGAUUCAGUGCCAUUGGCAUUAACUAGUGAUUUUAAAUAAAUAGCUUGUAAAACUUACUGAUUGAAUGGAGUGGCUUAUGACCAGCUUAUCAAAUAAAUGUGAUUUGACUUCUUUUACAUUCAGCGUACAUGACAUUAGCAUGUACAUAAAACAUAAUUUUUUAAUAAGUGUUCUAUUUUAUUUUUUGCAAACUUUGUAAGCACUUGCUUGUAAGCACUUGCUGGUUUUGGCAGUAGUCUUUCCAUGUAAGAAUACUGCUUAGCUGUGAGUAUUGAUCAAUAUAUAAAAUUUUAACUUUGGAAUAAGUACCGAAGUGGGUUUGUCCUUCUCCUGUGCAGGCACAAUGACAAAGCCUAACACUAGAACCUGACAUUCUAUUGCUGUGACUCUAUAGGAUUCUCUUGAUUGCUAACGGUGGAAAAGGAACACAGUCUUAAAACUGCCCAUCUCCUUUGAUUAUUUUUUAACACACAGCAGUAUCAGGCACGUGAGAAGGAAGGUGUUUGCCAUGAUUUUGUGCUUACAAGUAUGCUCAAUCUUCAAAAUGUUCCUGAUCAUCUUGUACAAGGUCCCAGAUUCAAUCCAGAACUGUACUUCAAUCUAUGCUUACUUUUACUCUUAGCUUGUGCUUAACUUUGAACUCUGCUCCUUCUGAAAAAGUGUUUGUGUGCCAUAAAACUUUGGGUUUUUUUCAGCUGCACUAGUUGAUCUAAAUAAAAAGCAUUACCUCUACCAACAAACUUUUGGAUUAAACAGUUCAUUAGUAACAACAAAGUUCAUGGUUCAGAUGUUGGCUCCACUGAAGUCAAUGGAAAUGUUAUCUUUAGCUUAUCGUACUGUUCAUCAGUACAUCCAGAAUUUCUCAGUUGGAACUCAAGUGCUUGAAGUUCUGCAUGUAUCUAAGCUUAUGCUUGAUCUACAGCCAGGGUGCUUGACGUCUUGCAAAAUUAAGACUUGCUUAUCUAAACAGAUUAUACUGACACUCAUUAUAUGUAUAUAUAUGUAUAUAUAUUAGUGUGAAAACACUGGUUUUGUUGCAUAAAUGAAGAAAGUCCUUAUAACUUUUUGUGUAGAAUCUUCUUCUGCGUGUGUUUGGAGAAAAGAUAGUCUCUGAUUUAGCACUCAAAAUCAGAACAUGAGUUAAUUUCCAUCCCUUUAAAAUUUUGGUCUGAGUAUUUUCUCAUUUCAGUUUUCCUUCAAUGGCCUAAAGAAAUAAAAUGCAGAUUACUUCUUAUCAUCACAGAGAUGCAAAUAAAUAUGCAGGAUAUUCUCUAAUGCAUUGGUAAAAUAGAUUGCAUUUUGUUGAUUCAGAGGAAAUUACUUACUAUUCAGAGCAAAAGAGGUAUUUGCUGUACUAGAGGAACUAACAGUUUCUAAUUCUUCUUCCUUCACCUUCUGAACGGGAACAAGAAGACUCACCCGGCAGUGGGUUACAUUUCAGUGUUCCUUUGUUUGCCUUGGCAGUUACUCCGCUUUUAUAUUAAUAUCAUAUUAGUCCAAGUUGCCUGAGUUACACUAUUAAUUCUUUCCUUUGUUUACAUGUUUAAUGUCCUUAAAGCUUUUAGAAAUAAUGGACUGCUCCUUCUUUAAAAAUAACUAGUUCAUUUUUUUUUUAAUCUGUGCAGAAUGCAGAAAAUGAAUGGUUACAAAGUUAUUAAUUUUUAACUAUCAUUGUGAAUUGAAUACCAUUAUGGUGUUUAGCUGAAUAAUACAUUAUAUCUAAUGGUGUCUGCUGUUAUGAAUUAUAUUUUGAACGUAAUCUUCCAUUUGAAAGCUAAGUCGUGCCUUGCAGCAUUAUGUUGAUCCAUUGUUUUUUUUUUCCAUCAUUUAAAUUCCACAAAAUAAAUAAAUAAAGAAAUAAAUGACCAUAUUACCAGAGUAGGACUCUGACAGAUUUUUUUCCUUUUUUCAAGAAUAAAAUUUGUGGAAUCAAUUGUCUUAACAGAAUAAAAUCAAGUAACACAAAUAUAAAAGUAUAAUGAUGAAACAGGCAUAAAGUCUAUUUGUAAAAUGAGAAAAUAUUUUCAGUAAUAUUUUGUUUUUAAAAUACUGUGGCUAGCUGUGAGCAUAAUAUAUAUUAGCUAAGCUCUGCCAGCAUUACUAGUAAUUCAAAAUAACUAGAUCAACUGUACUGAAAGAAGAAUGCUGUUGUGAGUAUGUGUAAAAUGCUGUUGUUAACUUGUUGGUUUCCACAGCCCUGAAAAGUGGUAAAAAAUGUAGAAGUAAAAACUUAACUUUACAAAAUUAUCUCUUCCCUUUCUUAGUAUGCAAAAAAUAAUUCUUCCCUCUCUGUGUCAUGAGAUCACUUGACGGAAUAAUCUGGCAAGCUAUUCUGUGCAGUUUAUUUCAUCAUGUUGAGUAUUGGCCAGGAUCUAGGCUUUAGUCCCAAGAAAGUAGAUGCUGUUUUCAGCCUCUCUCAUGAGAGGCAUUUGGAAGAUCCAGCUAUUUUCCUAAUUGAAGAACUAUAAAACUGAGUUGUGAGCCAUUGCUGAAAGAAUGUGAGGAACCCAGUUUAAGAAAGCUGUAUAUUGAUAACAGUGUCUAAGGGGAAAAAAAAAAAAACAGGAAAUAUUUUUAAAUGAGAAAGAGCUAUCAGGAAUUUAAACAGGAAAGACUGAGUACUGUUUGUUGCUGCAGAAUGCUAAUGCAGUAUGCAGAAUGACCAUUGCCCUGAAGAUCUGCGCUUUUGACGGGAAGUCAAUCUGAGGUCAGACAAACCAGGUCAGCAGUGCGGACUAGUCCACAAGGCACGUAGCUGGUUAAAGAAGCAGAAAAUGGAACUAGAGACAAGGGAGUCAGAUUGCAAACCAGAAUUAUGUUCAGAAGAAGAUCUAGGUCACUGUAAAGAGAGCAAAGUGUGAGAGCCAGAGGAGGCAGGAUACCAAGCCAAGGUUUUCGUUCCUACGGAACUGGAUCUGAUAUUACUUUAUUGUUUAUUUAGAAAGUGGCAAUAUGUUGUUAUACAUGGAAAUACUGUGAGAAAUAAACCUGAUGUUAACAUUGAAUGAGUGCUGCCAAGAUAGCCCAUACUACAGUAGGCCAGUUAGCCUGAAAACAUCCUGGACAAAAUAACAAAACAGGUGCACAAUUCACUUUCUUAUGAACUAAGAAUUAGGAAUAAAAUUAAUUCUAAUCAACAUUUUACUGGAUUUUGUUCUCUGGAAAAAAAAAAGUGAAAAUCUGUACAGUUUUUGACUAAGUGUUUCAUGACAUUCAAAUUGAAAUUGCAGCAAUGUGCUUUAUCUGUGAUUCAGACCUUAGAGAUAUUUAAGAUAAGUGAGAUGACAGAUUUUUUUAGAUGUACAUAUUCUUUUGCUUUAUAUGGAUGUGUAAUUUUGUCAUUCAUGACAUUUGUGUAAAUGUGAUGUCCAGAUUCUAACUGUUGUGGAAGGGUUCUACAGAAUACAGAAUUAAUUUCUGUUCUGUUCACAUGCUGUUUGAUAUCUUUGAAGUAAAUAUCAUACCACAGCUGAUAAUGCUUGCGCAUGGGAGUGUAGGGGUUGUAGAUGACCUCUGAAGACAUCUAGUCCACCCCCAUCCCGCUAAUGCAUGUUCCCUACAAUAAGUUACCCAGGAAGGCAUCCAAGUGGGUUUUGAAUAUCUCCAGAGAAGACUCCACAGCCUUUCUGGGCAGCCUUUUCCAGUGCUCAGUAACCCUCAAAGAAGUUUAUCCUCAUGUUUUGACAGAACUUCCUGUGUUCCAGUUUGUGCCCAUUACCCCUUGUUCUGUUGCUGGGCACCGUUGAAAAGAGCCUGGCCUCAUCUACUUGACUGCUGCCCAUUAGAUAUUUGUAAGCAUUGAUAAGAUCCUCGCUCAGUGUCCUCUGAGCUGAGCAGUUCCAGGUAUCUCAGCUUUUCCUUGUAAGGGAAAUGUUCCAGUCAUCAUCAGGAUGACACACAGGCUGACAAAUCAUUAACUAAUAAUGGGUCUAGCACAUUUGUACAGAAUGACCUAGAGCAGUUAUAAUGCUGGACCAUUUCUGAGAAGAAAUAGCUUCAAGCUGCGCCAGGGAAAGUUCAGGCUGGACGUUAGGAAAUACUACUCUGAAAGGGUGGUCAGGCACUGGAAUGGGCUGCCCAGAGAGGUGGUGGAGUUACCGAGCCUGGUGGUGUUCAAAGAGCGUUUGGAUGUUGUGUUGAGGGACAUGGUUUAGUGAGAACCAUUGGUGAAGGGCAAACAAAUGGUUGGACUGGAUGAUCCUGUGGGUCUUUUCCAACCGUAGCGAUUCUAUGAUUCUAUGAUUCUAAGAUGUGUUUUAUUUCAGCCAUACACAAAACUUUAUGUGUGAGAAUAGAGUAUUAUUCAUUGUGUUAUAGUAUGUAACGACUCCAGAAAUGACUGUAUUAAGAAAUGAAUGAAAAUGUGUAAUGUAACGCUGAGGAAAAAAAUUAUGUACAUAUUAUAUAUAUAUAAUUCCGUAUAUGUGAUAUUUAUGUAGGUAAACAAAGAAUAAGUUUAUGAACAGAUAUUUAUUUCUUCUUGAAGUUUUGAUUAGACUACGAUUGAAAUGCUACUUAAAGAGCUAGUGUGGAACUACCAUAAAAGGAAAUUGAAAAUCUACAGUCAGUGUAAAACUAGUCAAAUGUAAAAACAGUCAUAAAAAUGACUGGGGAGAAUUCUCUAAUAAAAAUGGUAAGGAAUGUGAGAGCCAACGGAAGGAGCUGGCUGCAGUGUGCCUAACUUCACCUUGGACAGAUUCUUCAGAAGGCAUUGCGCAGCUGGAAUUCAGAGCAAUCCUCUGAUACCACACACUGAGAAGACUGUUGGAACUUACUUAUCUCAGAUGACAAGUUUUAUAUGGAAAAUCAAACUAGGUACUCCAUUUUUUAUAAUCCUUUCAUGUCAGCAUAUCCAUCGUAAAGUAAUUUAGAAAUGAACUGUAGCAAAUCUCUUGUAAUUAGAGACGGUAAAUGCCCUCAACGUGAUAUUGUGAAAGAGCCAUGGAAGAAGAGCUUUGCGUUGCCUUGCUUCAAUGAGGGCAUAUGGGCAGUGCCAUGCUUGGAUUGCAGAGCUGGAUCUCCUGCUCCUGUGGCUCCUCAGCACAGCUUUGAAGGUCUGUAUCUGUGUAUCUGCCUCUACUAAUGUGCAUCCUACAAAACAGGCACAAACAUUCGUAGCUUAUUAUGCCCUAUUUAAGGCCACAGUAAGACACCCAAAAACCUAGAUUUCAGGGAUGAAGAACAAUAAAGAUAUCGUACAAGUUUGCUCUGGAAUAAGAAUUGUGCUAUGGUCACACCAGUGUGGACUGCCUGAAUAUAAAUGUUAUUUUUCAUACUGAAUUUAACUUCCUCUUCAUAUGUAUGUGUGUGCAUAUGUAUCUAUGUAUAUAUAUGUGUGUUUAUUCACAAGAAUGUAACAGCUUCUAGUGGGUUGAAGCAGGCAGUGGGGUGUUCUCUCUAUUCAUACAUUUCUGCUUUUUAAUAGUGUCUAUUCAGAGCAAUACAAAAGCCUGAUUGAAUGCUGGGAGAAAUUUUGUAUCGUAGAGUCAUUUAAAUGUGGACUGGGGCAUUCUCUGGACAGUUACAUAAAAAUGACAAGUGACCCUCUGUACAAUAGUUGCUUUCAACAUGAUCCAAGGCCAAGGCAGGCUUUUGACAGUUACAUAAUGCAGAUGGGUUCUGAUCAGCCAACACUAAAAUGUUCAGCACUGCACAAAAUGAGAAUCAUAUUUAUCUAAAAACUGAAACAAACAAACAAACAAAAAACAGACAAAAGUUUUCAUCUUCAGAAUGCCAAUUAAUUCUCCAUGUAAUUAAAUUCAAAUUUAGAAAUCUUUAUUUCAGUCUGAACACUAAUGGGAAGAUUGGGAAAGGCUUAAGUAUGAAUCUGGGAGUUCGAACUUUGAUGCCUUUUUGUUUGAAUACAUUUUCUGUGCAUUGUACAUGUUUUAUGAAAUGGCAGAUAUAUCUGGAAUAUACAUCUAGCAUAUAUAUGUGGUAUUUUUCUGUAUAUGAUAUGUGUGUUUUUUAUUAAGAAAUAUUUUACUAUGCCUUUAAAAUAACUGUAGAAUAUUUUGGGUACUGAAUUCACUAAUCCAAAUAAUAUAGCUUUUUCACUAGCAUGCUGCCACCUCUGUUUUUCUUGUUGCUUUUUCCACUGCAAAAAUUGUUCCUUAGUGCUUUAUGCUUAUUUGCAAUUCCUUAGGCCAAAACAAUAAUUUCACUGAAAAAAAACAUCAAGAAUCUAUCUGAAAAAAUAAAAUACACAUGCAUCAGUAAACACCACAUUGCAGCAGUGUGCAUUUUCUCUACUCCAAAUGGUAAUAAAGUCUUAAACUACAUGGAAUUGUGGCAUUUCACUGAACUGAAUUUAUACUGCAAAAGCCGAAGGCUUUACAAACAUAUUUUUAAUAUGCUGCAGGGGAGCUAUAUCACAGGCUUGCUAUCUCUACUAUCAUUUUUUCACUGUAACCCAAAGAGAAACCUGUUCCUAUUGAAGGAUAAUUUAUGGUCAUCCUUAAAUUCUUUCUUUUAUUUCCAUGUUGACAACAAGAAUGUUAAUUACUGGCAUACAGGAGUAGUAAUAACUUGAAAUUAAUGAUCCUUUUCUGGUGUCCCUUUUUUGAGAAUAAUUGACCCCUUCUGUUUCUCAAUAGAUAUUACAAAAUAUUGUAGAUAAUCGUGUUCAAAUACAUCAAUAAAUAAACUUUUAUACAAAUCCCCAUUGCGAAUACUAGUAUCUUAAUUUUGUGUGAUUGAAGACAGUAUUUUGUUAUUCACUCUGACUUUUUCCUCAACAUUUUUAUCAACACAAAUACUUCAUAGUAGUGUUAUUAAGAAGUGAAUUAUAAGUUGUAUUAAAAUAGGGCUUCCAUAUUUGCCCUCAGGUUCUGUAUUAAUAUGUAUAAAGUGAAUUACAGUGGAGAAUUUUACCAUAAAAGGGUUUUUUCUUAAUGCUUGAAUAAUAAAAAGAAAAAAGGCAGUCAUGCAGUCUGUUCUGCUUUGAGGAUAGCUAGUUUUGGUUACUACUUCUUUUUUGGCAAGAUUGAUACUGUCAGUCUGUGUGUUCAAAGUAUUCAAAAGACUCAGUCUGAAAAUAAUAAAAAUUAAAUUUGAUUCAAAACAAUACUGAACAUUGAACAACUAUUGGUUAAUAAGAAAUGAUUUAUAAAUUAAAUUGUCCAUUGUUGUCUGUUACCAACGUGGUUUUCCUGAAUUUGAAACUAAUUAAUCUCUUGAGGCUGUUAUUUAUUAGAACUUUAUUAUUUUUGAAAGCCUUGUUAAAGUAGGCUGAGAAUUAUCCCAAAAAUAAUUCCAUCUCUUAACACAGUAAAUACAUAACAGAUUUAAGCUUUAA